CAAGAAAUAGUUUACGUAAAAUAUUAAUUUUGGAGAUUAAUGACAAGGUUUAUCCUUUUUCUUGA
rnacentral:tRNA from 1 species